rnacentral:rRNA from 1 species
UACGAAGGGGGCUAGCGUUGCUCGGAAUCACUGGGCGUAAAGGGUGCGUAGGCGGGUUUCUAAGUCAGAGGUGAAAGCCUGGAGCUCAACUCCAGAACUGCCUUUGAUACUGAGGAUCUUGAGUUCGGGAGAGGUGAGUGGAACUGCGAGUGUAGAGGUGAAAUUCGUAGAUAUUCGCAAGAACACCAGUGGCGAAGGCGGCUCACUGGCCCGAUACUGACGCUGAGGCACGAAAGCGUGGGGAGCAAACAGG